UAGUAACGGCGAGUGAAGAGGGAAAAGCUCAAAUUUUGAAUCUGGUGUCUUUGACUCCCCGAGUUGUAAUCUAGAGAAGUGUUUUCCGUGUCGGACCGCGUAUAAGUUCCCUGGAACGUGGCGUCAUAGAGGGUGAGAAUCCCGUAUAUGCCGUGGACUACCGAUGCUCUGUGAUACACUCUCAACGAGUCGAGUUGUUUGGGAAUGCAGCUCAAAAUGGGUGGUAAAUUCCAUCUAAAGCUAAAUAUUGGCGAGAGACCGAUAGCGAACAAGUACCGUGAGGGAAAGAUGAAAAGCACUUUGGAAAGAGAGUGAAACAGUACGUGAAAUUGUUGAAAGGGAAGCGUUUGAAGUCAGUCACGUUUGUUGGGAUUCAGCCUGGCUUCAGCCUGGUGUAUUUCCUAGCCGACGGGUCAGCAUCAGUUUCGACCAAGGGAAAAAGACAUUUGGAAUGUGGCUGUCUUCGGGCAGUGUUAUAGCCUUGUGUUGUAUGCCUUGGUUGGGACUGAGGAAUGCAGCGCGCCUUAUGGCCGGGGGUCGCUCCUCUCGACACGCGCUUAGGA
rnacentral:rRNA from 1 species